UAAUCCCCUUCUCCCUCACCUCCCUGGAUCGAAAUCCCCUGACGUCAUGACGCCAGUGACAUUAUCACUAAUACGUGAGCCUAACCCCACGUGUUAGUGACGGCGAUGUGAAGUCAGGGGAACCCAGUCCCUCCUCCCUCACCUCCAAAUCCCCCUCUUGCUGACUUCCAAAAUCCAACCCAGAUCAAUAGCUGCUGCAACGGGCGAGUUCAUUCCUCUCUUGGUCUGCAAAUCUGAGCCUAUCAUGUGGGCUACCACAGUUUGGUCAGUUCGUUCAGACCUCUAGUCACUUAAGG